rnacentral:rRNA from 1 species
GUGCUUAACACAUGCAAGUCGAACGAUGAAGCCUAGCUUGCUAGGUGGAUUAGUGGCGCACGGGUGAGUAAUAUAUAGAUAACGUGCCUCUUAGUCUGGGAUAGCCAUUGGAAACGAUGAUUAAUACUGGAUACUCCUUCUCUUUAUAAUAAGAGUUGGGAAAGUUUUUCGCUAAGAGAUCGGUCUAUAUCCCAUCAGGUAGUUGGUAGUGUAAGAGACUACCAAGCCUAUGACGGGUAGCGGGUUUGAGAGGAUGAUCCGCCACACUGGUACUGAGACACGGACCAGACUCCUACGGGAGGCAGCAGUGAGGAAUAUUGCACAAUGGAGGAAACUCUGAUGCAGCAACGCCGCGUGGAGGAUGACGCAUUUCGGUGUGUAAACUCCUUUUAUAGGUCAAGAAAAUGACGGUAGCCUAUGAAUAAGCACCGGCUAACUCCGUGCCAGCAGCCGCGGUAAUACGGAGGGUGCAAGCGUUAUUCGGAAUCACUGGGCGUAAAGGACACGUAGGCGGGAAGCCAAGUCUGAUGUGAAAUCCUACAGCUUAACUGUAGAACUGCAUUGGAAACUGGUUACCUAGAGUAUGGGAGGGGGAGAUGGAAUUAGUGGUGUAGGGGUAAAAUCCGUAGAUAUCACUAGGAAUACCUAAAGCGAAGGCGAUCUCCUGGAACAUUACUGACGCUAAGGUGUGAAAGCGUGGGGAGCAAACGGGAUUAGAUACCCCGGUAGUCCACGCCCUAAACGAUGUUCACUAGUCGUCGGGAUGCUAGUCAUCUCGGUGAUGCACUUAACAGAUUAAGUGAACCGCCUGGGGAGUACGGU